rnacentral:rRNA from 1 species
AACGAACGCUGGCGGCAGGCUUAACACAUGCAAGUCGAACGCAUCCUUCGGGGUGAGUGGCGGACGGGUGAGUAACGCGUGGGAACGUGCCCUUCAGUUCGGGAUAACCCAGGGAAACUUGGGCUAAUACCGGAUACGUGCGAGAGCAGAAAGAUUUAUCGCUGAAGGAUCGGCCCGCGUCUGAUUAGCUAGUUGGUGAGGUAAUGGCUCACCAAGGCGACGAUCAGUAGCUGGUCUGAGAGGAUGAUCAGCCACAUUGGGACUGAGACACGGCCCAAACUCCUACGGGAGGCAGCAGUGGGGAAUAUUGGACAAUGGGCGCAAGCCUGAUCCAGCCAUGCCGCGUGAGUGAUGAAGGCCUUAGGGUUGUAAAGCCCUUUCGUCCGGGACGAUAAUGACGGUACCGGAAGAAGAAGCCCCGGCUAACUUCGUGCCAGCCGCCGCGGUAAGAC